ACAGCAAGAAACUAGGUUCUGCCGACAAUCUGAAUGGGCCUGGAAGUGGAUUCUUCCCAUGACCAACCAAUUAGAGCCACCUGGACAACACCUUGACUUUCACCCUGGCAAGACCCUGGGUGGAGAAAACCAGUCCAGCUGUCUGGACCCUGGACCUGUAAAGCUGUGAGAUCUUAGAGCACUGUUUACAAAAACCAAGACAUGGGAGCAACCUGAAUGUCCAUCGACAGAUGAGCGGACAAAGACGAUGCGGUACACAUACACAGUGGAAUACUACUCAUCCCUAAAAAAGUAAUGCCGUUGGCAGCGACGUGGAUUGCUAGAGAUUAUCAUACUAAGUGAAAGAAAUACCAAGAGAAGUGAAAUGAAGACCUUCUCCACCUCACUUUUCUAAGAAUGAGGAGGCCUCCCUGCUAAUCCCCCACCAGUCACUUCAGAGCCUCCCAAAGAGGGAAACCCAUCGUACGUUCCAAAGAGAGAAGACCGUACAUCUCACCGGACAAUACAUGUGACACCAGAGCAGUGAUUGUGACAUCCAGGUCCCUGGACCCCAGGCCAGAACCUGCAAGGCCAGAUCCUCCAGGGCAGAGGUCUAAGGACCUGAAUUUUUAACCAGCACCCCAAGUGAAUCCCGUCUAUAGUCUAGGAAACAGUGAACCCAAAGCUGGGCCUCUCUGAGGUCCCUUCCUACUUGACACAGCUUGUGUUGUAGCCUGAAGAGCUUCAUGCUAACUUGCAUACCCACCCUACCAACAUCCCCUGAGCGCUGUGCUGGGCAGGUGGAGGGGCUGCAGAGUUGCAGGCAGGGCACCCCCCACAAAACACACACCCCCACCCUUGCUCAGCUCCAGUGCUGCCAUUUUUAUCAGAACCCAGGCCCUGGAGGCACAGGACCAAAUGAGACCACAUUGUUAGAGAUCUGUCUUUCUCCCUGAUGAGGUUCUACGCUAUGGGAGGAAAGAAGCCCAGUUCACUCAUUUUUAUUGGUUAACUCCCUCCUAUCACCCCCUCCCUGCGGCUGACGCUUUCGAGACUUUCAGUAAUUGUCAGCUGAAUGAAUAAAUUAAUGACAAAGGGAGACAGAUGUGUUAACAGCUAACAGUAAUUUGAGCAGAAUGGAGUGAUACCUGUUUUCUGAAGUGGUUGCAGCCAAAAAAAAGUACAUUCUUUUCGCACAUAAAUGAAGACAGUGCGUCAGCUGGUAUGGUACUCCAUGGUAUAAGAUCCUUCCAUUGUGCUUCAUUCUCCUCUGCACAGGACUGGAGCUGCUUAAACUCCCAGAAGACUGCUUGAGCUCCAGCCAUCACAUCUAAAUUCCAGCCAACAAAAAGGAGGAAAAAAAAAAGUUUCACCCUUUUCCUUUGAAUAUACUUUCAGAAAGUCACACUAGCCACUUCCUCUUAUUUCCCAGUGGCCAGACUUAAUCUCAUGGACACAAUAAACUGCAAAUGAUUGUAGGAAAUGUAGUCUUUAUUCUCGGUACCAACAUGCCCAGCUAAAAGUUGAGAGUUCCAUCAUGAAGGAAGAAGAGAGAAUAGAUUUGUAGGACAAUGAACAAUCUCUGCCAUAGAC
ensembl:lncRNA